GGAGCUGACCGGUACUAAUAGGCCGAGGGCUUG
rnacentral:rRNA from 3 species